rnacentral:lncRNA from 1 species
AGUAAAUGAGGAUUUAUCUAUGGGUUUGAAAUUCAAAUUUAAAACAUGAUUUCAGAACAUCUUUGAAAUUUUCAGUUGAAAUCUCAAGUUUGAAUAAGCUGUACCGGCCUAAUCUUAACACUAUGAAUCCAAAGCCCAAGUCCAGAUUUUAACCAUGCAAGCUCAAUUCAAAGCAUUAACUACACCAUAUGAGCCAAACGGAGCCUGCAACCACAUCCAAAGCUAAAUCCAAACUACACGGGUCGGAAUCUGGCCUAAACUCAGAUCUACAACCAAUCUAAACCUUAACUAUUCUAACCCACAUAGAGCCUAAGCCCAAAUAUAGCUUUUUAAAUCAAACUCAGGCUUGAUUCUAAACCUAAACUAUAUGGGCCUGACUUCAGCCCAAGCCUAAAUCCAAUGGCCAACCUAUAUCUUAACAUAGCUCAUACUAAACCUCACACCUAAGCCUAACCCAAGCUAAACCAAUACGAAACUUGAUCCAAAUCCAAAUCAACAUUUGUCCUGAGCCAUAACUAUAGGACUAUAUCAAUCCAACCUCCAUACCAAGUCCUUAGAAACAAACUAUUCAACCCAACCAUAUUCAAACUCGAUCAAAUUCUAAAUAUAUGUUUAGAAUUGAUCAAAUCGUCUUUUUAUCUUAGUACAUGUGACUAAGGUAAAAAAAAUAAAUUAGAUUUUUACUAAUCAAAUUAAAUCGAUUGGACUCUAAUACAUAUACUUAGAAUUCAAACAAAAGAAACCAAGUUAAACUCUAAUAUGUAUAAUUAGAGUUUAAUUUAAAUCAAUUUUGGAUAGUCCUAAUACAUAUAUUUAGUAUUUAGCCAUCCUUCACCUUAGAGUGAACUCAAAUAUGGUUUGACUCUAAUAUACAUACUUAGAGUUCAAUUAAAUUAAUUAGACUUUAAUAUGUAUAAUUAGAGUUAAUCUAAAUCAAAUCAUCUAAUUCUAAUACAUGUAGAUUUAGCCGUCCUGCACCUUAUAAUGGACUCAAAUCCGAUUGGACUCUGACACAUACAAUUAGAGUCUAAUCAAUUCAAACCCAACUAAAUCCUAAUACAUGUAAGUAGGAUUUAGUUAAAUCUAAUUGGAUUAACCCCUUAAAAUUAUAGGUGUAAUCCAAAUUAAGUUCAAUCGACCGUCAUACUCAUGUCGUUGAACUAAUCAUUUUCUCUUUUUGUACACUAGGGGUAUGUCCGUGGUUAAGCUAUGUAAUUGUAUGGUGAAUUAUGUUAUAAAAUUCAUCUUUUAUUUAAUUUCAGUCUAUUUCAGCAUUACAAAGGUCUCUUAAUCGAAGAUGCCCUAACACUUUGUAGGAGUAAUUAACAAUAAACGCUUGCGUUUAUUGGAAGCCAUGAAUCCACAAUACCUGAUAACCAUAUAUAAUUAAAUAUUAAUCUGAAUCAUGAAUAGAACCCCACGGAAAAUUUAAAAUAGAUUAACCGUGCGAGGUGCGUCAUUCGUGGUCGCAGACAAAGGUAUAAAUAAAUAUCAGGUUCACUAUACAUACAAAGCCGCCAAGAUACAAACAUCCCUCGCUCCAGCGAGUAAAUCAACAUAAGUAUGUACAUGAACCAAAAUACCCCAAAACUAUCUGUAGAUGGUAUUCUUCUAGAACUGCAACCAGGGAAGGGAUUUAGCUCGCGACUCCCUUUCCACGAUCAGAAUCGGCGACAGCAGCAACCGCAGAAGAAGGCUAUGCAAAAAGGGGUCAACAACAGGGUGUGAGAACUACUGCA